UAUCAAUAAGCGGAGGAAAAGAAACUAACAAGGAUUCCCCUAGUAACUGCGAGUGAAGCGGGAAAAGCUCAAAUUUAAAAUCUGGCGGUUUCUGGCCGUCCGAGUUGUAAUCUAGAGAAGUAAUGCCCGUGCUGGACCGUGUAUAAGUCUCCUGGGAUGGGGCGUCAUAGAGGGUGAGAAUCCCGUCUUUGACACGGACUACCAGUGCAUUGUGGUAUGCUCUCAAAGAGUCGAGUUGUUUGGGAAUGCAGCUCAAAAUGGGUGGUAAAUUCCAUCUAAAGCUAAAUAUUGGCGAGAGACCGAUAGCGAACAAGUACCGUGAGGGAAAGAUGAAAAGAACUUUGGAAAGAGAGUUAAACAGUACGUGAAAUUGCUGAAAGGGAAACGCUUGAAGUCAGUCGCGUUGGCCAGGGAUCAGCCUUGCUUUUGCAUGGUGUACUCUCUGGUUGAUGGGUCAGCAUCAAUUUUGACCACUGGAAAAGGUCUUGGGGAAUGUGGCAGCUCCGGCUGUGUUAUAGCCCCUGGUCGCAUACAGUGGUUGGGAUUGAGGAACUCAGCACGCCGCAAGGCCGGGUUUCGACCACGUUCGUGCUUAGGAUGCUGGCAUAAUGGCUUUAAGCGACCCGUCUUGAAACACGGACCAAGGAGUCUAACAUGCCUGCGAGUAUUUGGGUGGAAAACCCGAGUGCGCAAUGAAAGUGAAAGUUGAGAUCCCUGUCGUGGGGAGCAUCGACGCCCGGACCAGAACUUUUGGGACGGAUCCGCGGUGGAGCAUGUAUGUUGGGACCCGAAAGAUGGUGAACUAUGCCUGAAUAGGGUGAAGCCAGAGGAAACUCUGGUGGAGGCUCGUAGCGAUUCUGACGUGCAAAUCGAUCGUCAAAUUUGGGUAUAGGGGCGAAAGACUAAUCGAACCAUCUAGUAGC
rnacentral:rRNA from 1 species